rnacentral:rRNA from 1 species
AGGACGAACGCUGGCGGCGUGCUUAGUACAUGCAAGUCUAAGGGCUUAUCUUCCUUCGGGAAGAUAGACACUGGCGCACGGGUGAGUAACACGUAAGUCAUCUGCCCUUGGGUCUGGCACAACUCCGGGAAACCGGGCUAAUUCCAGAUGAUACCGAAAGGUCAAAGUUUCGACGCCCAAGGAUGAGCUUGCGUCUGAUUAGCUAGUUGGCGGGUAAUGGCCCACAAGGCGACGAUCAGU